AUGCAUGUAUAAGUAUAAACGACUUGAUCGUGAAACCGCGAACGGCUCAUUAUAACAGCUAUAAUUUACUUGACCUUGACAAUUUACUUGGAUAACUGUGGUAAUUCUAGAGCUAAUACAUGCACCAAAGCUCCGACUUCGGGAAGAGCGCAUUUAUUAGAACAAAACCAGGCGGCUUCGGCCGUACUCUGUUGACUCAGAAUAACUAAGCUGAUCGCAUGGUCUUGAACCGGCGACGUGUCUUUCAAGUAUCUGCCUUAUCAACUUUCGAUGGUAGUGUAUCUGACUACCAUGGUGGUGACGGGUAACGGAGGAUAAGGGUUCGACUCCGGAGAAGGGGCCUGAGAAAUGGCCACUACGUCUAAGGAUGGCAGCAGGCGCGCAAAUUACCCACUCUCAGAACGAGGAGGUAGUGACGAGAAAUAACGAGAUCGUUCUCUUUCGAGGCCGAUCAUCGGAAUGGGUACAAUUUAAACCCUUUAACGAGUAUCUACGAGAGGGCAAGUCUGGUGCCAGCAGCCGCGGUAAUUCCAGCUCUCGAAAUGCAUAGAAUUAUUGCUGCGGUUAAAAAGCUCGUAGUUGGAUCUGUGCUGGCCGGUCGGUCCACCUUCGGGUGUGUACUGAUUUGGUCGGCUUUCUAGUUGGAUUUUCUCCUAGUGGGCUUCACUGUUCGCUUGGAGUGUCUAACGAGUUUACUUUGAACAAAUCAGAGUGCUUCAAACAGGCGUUUCGCUUGAAUGUUCGUGCAUGGAAUAAUAGAAGAGGAUUUCGGUUCUAUUUUAUUGGUUUUAUAGACUGAGAUAAUGGUUAACAGAGACAAACGGGGGCAUUCGUAUUGCUGCGUGAGAGGUGAAAUUCUUGGACCGUAGCAAGACGAACUACAGCGAAAGCAUUUGCCAAGAAUGUCUUCAUUAAUCAAGAACGAAAGUCAGAGGUUCGAAGGCGAUCAGAUACCGCCCUAGUUCUGACCGUAAACGAUGCCAACUAGCGAUCCGCCGGUGGUUUUUUUGCCCUGGUGGGGAGCUUCCCGGAAACGAAAGUCUUCCGGUUCCGGGGGAAGUAUGGUUGCAAAGCUGAAACUUAAAGGAAUUGACGGAAGGGCACCACCAGGAGUGGAGCCUGCGGCUUAAUUUGACUCAACACGGGGAAACUCACCCGGCCCGGACACCGUAAGGAUUGACAGAUUGAUAGCUUUUUCAUGAUUCGGUGGAUGGUGGUGCAUGGCCGUUCUUAGUUCGUGGAGCGAUUUGUCUGGUUUAUUCCGAUAACGAGCGAGACUCUAGCCUACUAACUAGUCCACACAUUGUCACUGUGUGCGCGACUUCUUAGAGGGAUUUUCGGUGUACAGCCGCACGAAAUUGAGCAAUAACAGGUCUGUGAUGCCCUUAGAUGUCCGGGGCUGCACGCGCGCUACACUGGCAAAAUCAGCGUGCUUGUCCUUCCCCGAAAGGGGUAGGUAAACCCUUGAAAAUUUGCCGUGAUUGGGAUCGGAAAUUGCAAUUAUUUUCCGUGAACGAGGAAUUCCAAGUAAGUGCGAGUCAUCAACUCGCGUUGAUUACGUCCCUGCCCUUUGUACACACCGCCCGUCGCUGCCCGGGACUGAGCCAUUUCGAGAAACUUGGGGAUUGUUGGUUUAGCGGUUUUCGGAUCGCUUCAUCGAUGAGAACCAAUUUAAUCGCAGUGGCUUGAACCGGGCAAAAGUCGUAACAAGGUGGCUGUAGGUGAACCUGCUGCCGGAUCAUUACUCAUGUAUUGAUCACAUACACACUUUUGUGUGCAUCCGUGUAGAUCACCGCUAUUGUCUGGUUAGCGGUGGUCCGAUGAAGUAGCGUAUGCAUCUGGCUUGUCUGAUGGGCUAGCUUUUCGGCCACUAAGCCUAAUGUGGCUGACUCUAGCCCGCUGGUUGCAUGUUAUGGAGUCGACGCUUGUCUGGUAGCGUUGCACGGACCGUGCCCGUGAUUUGGUCAUUGUCCGUUGACCCGUUGUGCUGGAUGGUGUCUGUCUGGAACGCCGGUCCAGUUCGGCGUUCAUAGGGCCUAACGGCUUUGCUGGCGUCUAUGCGUGGUUGAGCAGUUGUUGUCUCUCCGUCCGUGGCUGUGAUGAGACCGCGCGUUAGGGCCCAUGCCUUGCCUCUGGCAUGUUGGCUUAAGACUUGAUGAGCGCGAUGCCUCGCGCCGCCAGUACCCACUUUUUUUCAUUAUUUUUUUUUGUUUGAAGCAAGCAAAUUCAAGUCUUAUCGGUGAAACUCGUUUUUAAGAUGAUCUUGACUGUAUUUUUGUCACAGAAAACAAAACCAACUCUACCACUUGUAAGCGGUCGAUCCCUUCGGGAUCAUAGCUA
rnacentral:rRNA from 1 species